GAGACCGAACUGACCCUCUGAUCCUAUUCCCGAUCGUCCGACCCGUUCGUCUUUCAGAUGCCUUUAUGAAUCACCCGGGAGGUCCUGCAAUAAGAACACUCUGACGCCCAAGUCAGACAGUAGAUCAGUUAACUGGACCAAUUUUAGAUUAGAUUCGAGAUUAUUUUACCUGUCCUGCUGUUCCUAUUUAUAGGCGAUGUAUUCAUAACUAACCAUUAAUUUCAUUGAUUUGCUAUGCCUUCCGUUACAUCUCCAUCAAAGCCUUUUAAUGCUUUCUCGACCCCACAUCCACUUGAUCCAUACCGUCCGGUGUUGGGCCGCCUUUGC
rnacentral:lncRNA from 1 species